rnacentral:rRNA from 1 species
AGAGUUUGAUCCUGGCUCAGGAUGAACGCUGGCGGCGUGCUUAACACAUGCAAGUCGAACGAAGCAUUUAAGACAGAUUACUUCGGUUUGAAGUCUUUUAUGACUGAGUGGCGGACGGGUGAGUAACGCGUGGGUAACCUGCCUCAUACAGGGGGAUAACAGUUAGAAAUGACUGCUAAUACCGCAUAAGACCACAGCACCGCAUGGUGCAGGGGUAAAAACUCCGGUGGUAUGAGAUGGACCCGCGUCUGAUUAGGUAGUUGGUGGGGUAACGGCCUACCAAGCCGACGAUCAGUAGCCGACCUGAGAGGGUGACCGGCCACAUUGGGACUGAGACACGGCCCAAACUCCUACGGGAGGCAGCAGUGGGGAAUAUUGCACAAUGGGGGAAACCCUGAUGCAGCGACGCCGCGUGGAGGAAGAAGGUCUUCGGAUUGUAAACUCCUGUUGUUGAGGAAGAUAAUGACGGUACUCAACAAGGAAGUGACGGCUAACUACGUGCCAGCAGCCGCGGUAAAACGUAGGUCACAAGCGUUGUCCGGAAUUACUGGGUGUAAAGGGAGCGCAGGCGGGAAGACAAGUUGGAAGUGAAAUCUAUGGGCUCAACCCAUAAACUGCUUUCAAAACUGUUUUUCUUGAGUAGUGCAGAGGUAGGCGGAAUUCCCGGUGUAGCGGUGGAAUGCGUAGAUAUCGGGAGGAACACCAGUGGCGAAGGCGGCCUACUGGGCACCAACUGACGCUGAGGCUCGAAAGUGUGGGUAGCAAACAGGAUUAGAUACCCUGGUAGUCCACACCGUAAACGAUGAUUACUAGGUGUUGGAGGAUUGACCCCUUCAGUGCCGCAGUUAACACAAUAAGUAAUCCACCUGGGGAGUACGACCGCAAGGUUGAAACUCAAAGGAAUUGACGGGGGCCCGCACAAGCAGUGGAGUAUGUGGUUUAAUUCGACGCAACGCGAAGAACCUUACCAAGUCUUGACAUCCUGCGACGCACAUAGAAAUAUGUGUUUCCUUCGGGACGCAGAGACAGGUGGUGCAUGGUUGUCGUCAGCUCGUGUCGUGAGAUGUUGGGUUAAGU